rnacentral:rRNA from 1 species
UACGUAGGGGGCUAGCGUUGUCCGGAAUCAUUGGGCGUAAAGCGCGCGUAGGCGGCCCAGUAAGUCCGUUGUAAAAGUCAAAGGCUCAACCUUUGAAAGCCGAUGGAUACUGCUGGGCUAGAGUCCGGAAGAGGCGAGUGGAAUUCCUGGUGUAGCGGUGGAAUGCGCAGAUAUCAGGAGGAACACCGAUAGCGAAGGCAGCUCGCUGGGACGGUACUGACGCUGAGGUGCGAAAGCGUGGGGAGCGAACAGG